GCCUGGGUGGCUCAGUCGGUUGAGCGUCCGACUCCGGCUCAGGUCAUGAUCUCACGAUUCGUGGGUUCUAGCCCCACAUCGGGCU
rfam:Felis catus isolate Cinnamon breed Abyssinian chromosome F1, whole genome shotgun sequence.